CAGGGGUGGAAGAAAUGGCCCCCGAGGCUCUGCUAACCCUACCUCAGCUCUAUUUGUAGGCAAUAACCCAGAGUAGAAGUUCUCAAGGUACAAGACCCAGACCAGUUCCGCCAACAGCACCUGGAAAGGGUACAUUUUUUUUCUUCAACCCAAGCAGCCCGGAAACAGAAACUGGAAAGUGUAGACUUAAAAAGCCUGUCCCCUCUGUACUCUCUGCCACCAAAUCAGACACAGGUGCAACCCUAGAAGGUUAUGAAUCUCUAAAGGGCUCAGAAACCCAGGGGUAGACAGUGCUAUCCCCUCUCCCACACCCCACCUGGCAAGUCCAGGAGCAGCAGCUAAAGAUAGGUUUUCUUCGAUCUAUCAAGAGCAGAGCAGCACUUCCUGUGCCCCGAGCCUCAUUAGCACAUUGGUGGCGGUGCUUCCUGUCACUGACUCGCUGUUUCCAUUCUGCCAAAGUGAUUUGCUGUUUUCGCUCUGCUCCGGGGGUUGGAGAAAGAUGAGUUUCUCACAGAGCCUCUCCUGGGCCUGUUGGCAGCUUGUCCCUCUGUGCCCCUCGCAUUUCCAGCAGAAGGCCGAGAUGAGAGAGCGUCCCUGAGCCGCCUCACUCUGGGAGCCUGGCACCUGAACAGCGCUCGCCUCCUGCAGCAGGCCGCAUAGCCAGCCCAGGAGCCAGCAAGUAAGAAGAGUGGCAGAUGUGCUGCCUGGCUGGUCAUGACUGAGGCCAGAAGUAGAGGCUGAAGCCAGAGAGGACUGCAGAGUUUCCCGAAGGAUGGACAUCACCCCAGCCUCUUUGGACAUCACGAGGCAGACGUUAGAUACCAGCCCUUCCAGCAGCUGGGAAGCGGAUAAGGAACAGAGCAGCAUCUUUUCUGGGUUUGCGGGACUCCUCGCCCUCCUCCUGAUCAUCACAGCUUCCUGCAUCCUGUGGAACUGGAACAAAAAGAAGAGGCGGCAAGUUCCUUACCUCCGAGUGACCAGCAUGCCCUCACUGACCCUGCCUCAACCCAGACCACGAGCCAAAAAUAUUUACGACCUCUUGCCUCGCCGACAAGCAGAGCUAGGGAGACGUCAAUCAAGAAGUAUCCAUAUUUUCAGCACCGAGAGCCUCAUCUCCAGAACCUCUGACAGCCCUGAGCAUGUGUCCUUUCAAACAGAUAACACCCUGCAGAGUCACCGAGUCCACAUCCGUGCUGUGCACUAUGCGCUGGGUGUCUAUGACAAUGCCUCUGUGCCCCAGAUGCAUGGGAACCUUGCUCCCUCGGCACACUACAUCAACAUCACAGCUUCCAGGGAUGGCUCGAGCACAUCUUCAGAGGAGUCAAAUGAUUAUGUCAAUGUCCCUACGGCAGAAGAGACUGCUGAGAUGUUAACUUCUACUAACAACCCACUGGAAAAUGUCUUUGUCCUGCCCAGCAUCCAAGAGCUGGAGUUUAAUGAGGAAGGACAAGAGAGCUGCGGGGACACCAGCGAUGGCACCAGUUUGGGGCUUCCAGGAACUGAGGGCAGUGAUCCACUCAGUGAUGGGGAAGGUUCUUCUCAGACCUCCCAUGACUAUGUCAACAUGACAGGAUUGGAUAUUGGGGACAUCCAGGAGAAGGAGUCCCGGGUGGAUUUUCAGGGCUGCAGAGAUUAUGUAAAUGUCCCAGCAGCAGAUCCCAGUGGAAGCCAACAGCAGGCUGAGGAAGAAGAGAAGUCUUCAAACACAGACUGUAGAGAGGGCAGGACAGAUGGUCCAGGGACCCACACCCACCCUGUCACAAGGAGAUCCCUCUCUUCAGGGUAUUGUGUGGUCUUUCUGCCAUCCAUACAGAGUGGGGACAGCCAAAUGACACAUGGGGAAGAGGUGUCAGAUGAAGACUCAGAUGACUACGAGAACGUGCUGGCUGCUGAGUUAGGAGGCAGGGGCUGGGAGCAAGGGCCUGGCAUUCAGCUUCUUCCUGAUCAGUGAACACCCAGGUACCCAGCUGGAACGCCUCAUGGAGCUUACCACCCUGCUGGUCCUCAGCUGCUGCAGUCUAGUGAAGAUGCCCAAGCACAGUAGUUCAGUAGAUUCAGUUGGUCAAGCUAACCAGAGGCUGAGAGGGAGUGAGGAGGUAACAGGCUGCAUAAAAACAAAGGUUUGGGGAAGGAAUUCCAGGGGUGGGUUGUCUCUCAUACUGACCUCAGAACGUUUGCUGAAACUGCCAGAUUGGACUGUUAGGAAAUAAAAAACAACAUAGUACUUAGCACACAGUGGAAGGGUAGACUAAAAUAAUUACCGUCACUAAUGGACAUAGCCCCAAAGCAGGAGUGUAGAUUUCUUUGUGAUCCAAGCAAAGACCAAAAGGAAGGAAGAAGUAGGGUUAGGGUUGGCGAUUUCCAUUUUCCAAAAAUGUGGACAAUGACACACGUCUCCUACCUCUCUCCACUAAGAGGACGUGGAAGCUCUUGGUUUCUAAAUGCUAUUCUGCAGUCAAAGCAGCCAGAGUUCUAGGGGCUGAGAUAGGGAAAAUACAAGAUGAGCUUUUGCAUCUUGUAGAAAAGGAGAGAGGGAGAGGAAGAGAGAGAGAGAGAGAGAAGGAAGGAGAGAGAGAGAGAAGGAAGAAGAGAGAGAGAGGAGGGAGAGAAAGAGAAAAGGAGGGAGAGAGAGAGAAAGGAAGGAGAGAGAGAGAGAGGCCAACUGAAAGAGCUCCCAAAGACAAAGCUAGAACAAGGUUAAAUAAAUAAAAAAAAGAUGAGUUCCAAAUAAUACAUAUACAAAGAAGGAGGGAAACACAAAAUCACCAUGAAGAUACCACAGAACAAAUGCUACAGCCAAAUCCACUCUGAACACUAAAGUUAGUAAAACUUUAAGGAGAAACAAAAAAAUUGCAUAGCCUCAAAGAAUCUCUUUGAAAAUAUUUAUUCACUACUGUGAUUUUAACACAUAUCCACAAAGUAUCUGAUGCUUCCCUGGGAGUUUGAUUCCCCUCCCCCUUCAGCAUAGGCUAAAUUUAGUGACACUUUCAUAAUGGAUAGAAUAUAGAAAAAGGAAAAUAGUGCUUUACAGGAGAGAAAUCUGGCAGACUCACCUUAACCAAGGGACUAAGAUCAGCCCCAGGUAGAAUGAAGAACAGCACCCAAAAAAUCCAUAACCCCAGUCUUAUCAUCAGGAAAAUCCAAAUUAUAUAACAUGGACAGACACCUGACCAGAGCUAUUCAAAGCAUCAAGGUCAGGAAAGAGAGGGGAAGGCUGAGAAAUGGUCAAAGAUUGGAGGAGACCAAAGGGUCUCUGAAUGCAUCCUGAUGGCUUGGGCUGGAUCCUGGAACAGCAACAACAAAAAAGGACCUUAUUGGAAAAACUACUACAUUAAAAGAUGUCCAUAUUUUAGCUAGUACCGUUGUAUGAGUGUUAAUUCCUUCAUUUUUAUAACUGUUCUGUGGUUAUGUAAGAUGUUAACAUAGGGGAAAGCCGGGUGCAAGAUACACAGGAACUCUCUCUAAACUAUUCUUGUAACUUGCAUAAAUCUUAAAUUAUUUCAAGAUAAAAAAUAAUUUUAAAACAUGGACAGCUGGGCAUGGUGGCGCACACCUGUAAUUCCAGCACUUGGGAGGCUGAGGCAGGAGGAUCACUGUGAGUUCGAGACCAGCCUGGGCUACAAAGUGAGCUCAAAGUGAGCUCAGUUCAGGUUCAAUGCUAACCUGAACCGCACAGCAAGACCCUGUCUCAAAAAGACAAAAAAAUUUAAAAAAAAAUAAAACAUGGACAAAGGUGGAGGUGAAAGCAUCUGCGUUCGUCCCAUUUAAAUAAAUGGGAACCGUUCCAUGUUUUUUUCCUUCUCCAAUGGAUUCAACGUAAAUCACAUGUUUGUGUAGUUGUUCCAAGUACUGUUUGUUUUCUGUUCUGUUUUGUUAACAUAUAUGCCCAACCUCCCCUGUUGGUCUCCAGCCACACUGCCUGCUGGAAAAUAUCCUGAAGUAGUCUGUGUUCACCCUGGCUCCUAGCACAAGGGUCAAAAUAUUGUUUUUGUUUUUCUUUAAAUUUUAUUUUAAAGAGAGUGGCAAAUGAGAAACAAACAAACAAAAAAAUAGAACAAUAGCAGCGUACCAGUAUCACAAACAUAAACAAACCAAAGCAAGAACAUUUCAAGUGAUACAGGGUUUCAAGACAGAAUAAUAUGAAUUAACAGUGGUUGUUAUAUUACAUAUCCUUGUCCUCAACUAUGUUCCUCAGAUUACCAGAUGUAAGAAUGGAAGAUUGUUCAAACCAUUAAAGAGAAUAAGAAAAUAAUAUUAGAUAAAACAUUAGAGAUAUUACAGAGUUUCACUAGACAAGAUGGUAGGAAUUCACCAUGGUAAUUCCAUUGCAUAUUGUUACCUCCAAAUCAGUUGCUCAGAUUACCAGAUAUAAGCAUGCAAAAUUGAUCAGAACAUAAAAAAUUUUAAGCAUUAACUGUUCAUUUCAAUAUACCAUCAGACAUCAGCAAUACAGUUAUUGCAGCUAUUCAUAUAUAUAUUUAUAUUUUGCCUUCUUUCUUUUUUCUUCUUUCCCUCAUCCAAGUUGUUCCUUCCUUUGAGCAAUUUCUUUCCUUUUCCUAUCAUCUAUUAUAUGCUUUGAGUUUUACUUAUUCUUUCAGGUGCCUACACCAAGGAAACAAUAUGAUAUUUACACAUGUGGGUCUGAUUUAUUUCACUUAUGAGUAUGGUCUCCAGUUGCAUCCAUUUACCUACAAAAACCUUGAGUUUAUUCUUUUUAUAGCUGAGUACUACUCCAUUGUAUAAAAAUACUACAUCUUUUUAUCCAUUCCUCAGUGGAUGGGCAUUUGGGUUUUUUCCGAGAUUUAGCUAUAACAAAGUGUGCUGCUAUAAACAUGUGUGCACAUAUGUCGCUGCGGUAUGAUGUCUUUAAUUCUUCUGGGAAAAUACAAGGGUCAAAAUAAAGGCAGGUUAUUGACAACUGAUGAUUAAUAAGGUGGCUUAGUGCUCUCACUUUUUUCUUUUUCUUUUCUUUCUUUUUUCUUUUUCUUUUUUUUUUUUUUUUUUUUUUUUUUUUUUUUUUUUUUGACAGCAGUGUGUAUUGAAUUCAGGGCCUUUGCACUGAGCCACAUUUCUAGCCCUUUUUUGGUUUUUAUUUUUGAGAUGGGGCCUUGCUAAGUUGACAGUCAGGGCUCCAGCUUAAGCUCCCACCUCAGCCUCCCAGAAUGCUAGGAUUACAAGCGUGUGCCACCAUGGCUCCAUUCAGUGUUCUUACUUGUGCCAUAAAAUGUUGAGUGAGGUUCACCUCUCAUCUGAAUUCAGAAUGCCACCAGUGUACAGUGACUAGCCAACCCCUCAGGCCUUACUUCCCGGAACCAUAUCAGAAGGCUGAGAGGUGGCUGAGCGUGGUCACAAAGAGAAGGAUCUCCUCCUUCACUCUCUCCAUCCCGGUAAGUGGUAACCAUCUCCCUCUGCCAAGGAGAACGGGAGGAAGAGAGUGCUGCCAGACCAAGAGAGAUGGCUGUGAGGCCGCUGCUUCUGUCCCACGGAAUGUGGCAAGAGUAGUAUAUGUGAGCUGGGGAGGGACCUGGGCCUGGCCAUCUACAGGCACUGCCCCAGCGUGGUGCCACAGCCAGAGACCCCAGACGACUCUGUGAUAUGUGGACCAUCUGAGGUGGCUUUGCAAGUCCCUGGAUGGGACAACAGCAGAUCGUUACAGAAAUCUGAUGUCUCUGUUGUGGGUACAUGUUUUCAGGGAAAUCAAACUCCCCCUCUGUGAUCACAAAAAACAAAUAUUGAAGCAUGGUAGAACACCUUAUAAUCCCAGCUAUUCCGGAGGCUCAAUGUCAACUGGGGCAUCUUAGUGAGAUGCUGUGUCAAAAUAAAAAUAAAAAUAAAAAGGACUAGAGAUGUAGGUCAGUGGUAGAGUGCUCCUGGGUUCAAUCCCCAACACUGAAAAAGCUAAAUAAUAAUAGUAAUAAUAAUAAUACUAAAGAAAGAAAUGUUUGGUUUUUGGUGGAAGGCUGAGGUAGGAACCUGAGGCAAGAGGACAUCCUGGGCUACAGAGGGAGUGCAAGCCCAGCUUAUCUCAAUCAAACAAACAAAUAAAAAUGUUGUCUUUUGUCCCUUGUUUCUGGCAGUGCUGAUGGCAGCUGGAGACUUUUGAGGGGGCUGAAGUGGGGGCACAUCUGAGUGACGUUGUGCAGUCCACACUCA
rnacentral:lncRNA from 1 species